CCAAGAGAGAGUCGUGAUGCUGACAAACCCCCCAUGCUCAUUAAGAGACGAGGCACUGGCUUCCAAGAUACUAGCAGGUCUUUAGGGUACCUAUGACCUUGUAGUACUGAUGGUAUAAAAGAUAGGGUUGAGCAAGAACCUGUGGAGGACGGCUCUUUACCCAUGCAGCUGGUACCAAACAUUUAGCAUAGGAGAGAGUCGACUCAGAUUCCAUUGGUACCACAGGUAGCCGAGCGGUCUUUGUUGACUUUCGUGCUACCGGUACUCAGUGCUGCUCAGGGACAGGCUUAGAACUUUUUUCACCAGUGUCUCUGCCACUCUGGGUAUGGGUACCUGAAUUCAGUACCAUGUCUGUCUUAGACAACUGCCUCCUAUUCAUCUUUGUGGUACCAGCAUCACUCAGAGCCUGCAUGGAACUCCAUUGGGACCCGAGGUCUCCGUAGUCGUCAUCUGCAUUGGUGAUGAAGACUUUCUUGGAAAUUUACUCCUUACCACUUUCUGCUUCGAGGCAGAUGUUGAGGAUACCUCUAUGAAGGACUUCUGCACCUUAGAUGUACUAGUUGCUGCGGUGCCGCCACUCUCUUUAGGGAUCUCUAGUGACUGAGAUCUUGAUGUGAACAGGGCACUAAUGGUACUGGAAGUCUGUGUGCACAGGGGUCCUCCACUCCUGGAGCUGAAGCUGGUUGUUAAGUUUGCGCCAUCUGCGGGAGUUUUAACUUGAUUUCCCUAUUUUUUGUGGAUCUCCCCUUGAAGGAAGCACAGAUCUUGUACUUACUGGCGAUGAGUCUACCUCCCAAAUAGCAAACGCACACAGAGUGUCCAUCAUUGAUGGCAAUCACCUCACCACAGGAGAGACACCUUUUGAAUCCCAGCAAGCCUGGCAUUCCUGCAUAAUAUAACAAAGAGGACCCCUAGAAGGGAAAAAGCUCUUAACUAUUAUCUAAGUCUACCUAGCAAUAAAAUGUUGGGGGGUUUUUUUAGUUAAAGGAAAAGGGGAAAAAAGGGAAUUGUUCCAACAACUACAUACACUAUAAGGUAACUAACUAAUUAUCAAAUACUAUGGCAAACAGGCACACAGUAGACAUAGUCUCUGGCCAAAGGCGGUUGAGAAGGAACUGAGGCCUGUUGGCCUGUGCAGUCCCAUAUAGCCUCGGUGCAGGGCAUGAGGGUGUGUGGAUGCAUGCACAUGCCGAAUGGGCACUACUACCAAAAAUCUCUGAUCAAAGGUGCAGGCACACCUGAAGAGCACAUACAGGGAAACUACUCAAAGAAGAACAGCACUGGCUCCUGUUCCUCAUGGCCUACCUUUUGAAAAGCUGAGUGAAAGCUAAUGUCUGAACACAAGCUGAACAGCUCACUAUUCCUAACACAUCCAUCUACCAAACAAAAGCUUAUGCUCAAAUACAUUUGUUAGUCUCUAAGGUGCCACAAGUACUCCUUUUCUUUAGAGAACUACAGGAAUUCUAGACCAAAAAUGUAACUAAAUAUACCCAGAGUCAUUGAAGGUAGCUGCAGAAGUUGAAGUUUCACAAAACAAAGAUGAAGUUGCUGGUUAAGAAGCAGGGAGAGCUGAAACUAAAAAUGUUUUAAAUGAUUGCCCGCUUUAGUUACAGUAUUCUUAAACUUGUAUUCAUUGUAAACCACCAGAGGGUGCUAAUGAAUAAUCUCCUAUGCCAAAAAAAAACAGCUCUACCUUUUUGUUUUGGACUGUGGAUUGUUUUAAAACAAGAGGCAAUAUCAGGUUAGAAGCAAAUUAAGUCUUCUCCAUGAGACAGAGCAAUGUCCUAUUGUUAACUGCAGAAUAUAUACCAAGGUGUAUUGAAAUUAACACAUUUACUAGACACUGGGUCAGAUUUACUAACUCUCAGUAUCUGGGACACAUCUGAUUAUAUAUAGGACACAGAAUAUCAGGGUUGGAAGGGACCUCAGGAGGUCAUCUAGUCCAACCCCCUGCUCAAAGCAGGACCAAGCCCCAGUUUUUGCCCUAGAUUCCCUAAAUGGCCCCCUCAAGGAUUGAACUCACAACCCUGGGUUUAGCAGGCCAAUGCUCAAACCACUGAGCUAUCCCUCCCCCCUCUGAGUAGGGUGCCAGAAGAAAAGAUUGCAGCAUCUCACCAAGCCGACAGGAGGCACUCGUGGGAGUCUAGAUAAUACUUAGUCCUGCCUCAGUGCAUGGGACUAGACUAGAUGACCUAUCAAGGUCCCUUCCAGUCCUAUGAUCCCAUGAUUACUCUUGAAAGAGGAGGCUUUGACCUGACCUGACACACACACCUGACCUCCCUCUCCCGCAUCAACGAGCGAGCAGGAGUUUACAUUACAAUCAAUUAUGCAGCUCUUACCUGUUCUGACUCCUCAUCACUUAUGUUUGUCCUGCCCAACAUGGUAGCUUUAACAGUGGAGAGGAUUUUGAGUUGGGUGCUGAUGGUUGGGAUUCGCUCACAGACCUAAGAAGUCGGGAAGGUGCAUCAUUUUAGUUUUUAAACUCGAAACAAUUGAUAUCCCAUUUUUAAAGUAAAACUAAGAUUUUGCUUCACUCUACAGCAGUUUCUCUUUGCUGAUGGCUCAGGUACAAGCAUACAAUGUACAUGUAAACUACCUUGCAUGAUGUCACUGAAGACAUGUUUAUAUGAACACUUACUGCACGGCAAGUUGGGUUGGAAAUCUCCAGCGCUCCAGCAUGUUAUGCACUAACUCACCAUGUGGACCCUGCUGCCGCACACUGAAAGUUCCCUAGAGCGCGUUGAUGUACCAUGGUUUUAAACAGCACAACGUCAAAGUGCACACAGGAUCUUUUAGCAAGCAGCAGCAGGAACCACCCGGACAGUUAGUGCGCAGCACCCUGGAGCGCAGUAGAUUUAGAUUUGCUGUGCCCUAAGUGUUCUUGUAGACAUGACCUAAGGCACUGCAAUUUAAUUCCCAUUCCUUCCUGAUAAGCUUGGGUGACCAUUCUAGCAAUUCGCUAAAGCAGAAUUCACUUUUCCUUUGCCCAGUAUUCCUUCAAGAGUCUGUUUCAUCAGGAAUGGAGGCUGGGAUUCGGGGAUGUAUUGGUUUAUGCUAUUGCCAAUACCCUAUGACUUGAUAAGGCUGACUAUGUGGAUGGCCAAGGUGAUAUAGACAUUGCUAGACUGGUCUCUUGACAUUCAUGGAAUUUUCAAAGGCUCUCUUACAGGACACUGACAUGUCUUCUCCCAUCUGAAUAAAAGGACCUGAAGUCACAAAGUGGGAGUUGAAGAAAAUCAACAUUUCACAUACUUGGGCCUCAAGAUCCACAAAAGCUGGGAUAGGGAGCCAAGGGGAUCCACAGGUGACUCUCAUCCAAAAAUAAACUCAGUCUCCAGCCUUGAGCCAUACUGAAGGAGCAGGACUCAGGAAGGAAAGUGGGGAAAGAGUGAACAAUCGUAUCUGUUUAUAUUUCAUGCUUCCAGGAGCUGAAUGCUGAUGUAGGAUGCAGUGGAUUCUGGGGCAGUUUGAAAUUGGAGAAGCUCCCACCAAGGCAACCAGACCUCCUGGGACACUCUUUCACAGCUUCCAAAAGGCCUGGGGAGUCUUAUCACACUUUGUUGUACAGUUCCUGCAUCAGAAAAUGGCUAAAAUUGCAUGGUACAGUUCCACAUUUAUUGUCAACUUAUAGAGAAAAUUGGCAAAGUUCAAAAAUAAAAAGGUCUCUUUAACUGCCAGCCUUGCAAACCCUACCAGUGAUCUAAAAAUCAGGUUGUUCACACACCAACAGACGUAAUCCUGACCGCACCGAAAGGUGAAGGCAGGCACUGAAGGUCUACAACUGCACUACACCUGGGUCAGGUUGGGAUUCCUCGUAGCUUUCACAGCUCUGCUGUCUGCACCUCGCUACUAUGAUGAAUGAGAUUGUAAAAUGAAGAUUUCAAAGAAAACUUUAUUGAAACUAUUUUUUGGAUAAAAGCCACGCUGCCAGCUAGAAAGCUGGUCAGAAAACAAGAAAAACACCACAAAUGUGAGGGGGUGGGGAUGCAGCAUUUGUCUUCGUAAAAAAGAUUUAAUUAAUCUUCCCACCACUUCCAAUUAUUAACAAUAAAGCAACUCCUGCAUCGUUACUAUAUGCCUGCAAGUGACAUACCAUGACUAUUUGAUCACUUUUUCCAUUGCUUGCUGGUAACAAAACAAUAUUGCUGUUCCAUAAGAUUGUGCAGAAACUGUAUGAGGUGAAGCCAUAUCUUUACGAAAAACCCUUACAGAAUGUAACAUCUACUUUCUAUUUACAUGGGAGUUAAUUUCCUAAUUUGCCAGCCAAUAUACAACUGGGUAUAUUAGGCAUUGUACUUGAAUUACAAACAAUACAAAGCAGUGUAAAAAAUAUUGCAUUUUAAUUUGUUCCUACUUACAUGUAUGGAUAUUAGAAAGUAACUUCAAAGGCAUGUAUGGUACCACUUGUUGACUUAUCAAGUUUUUUGUGAACACAGUGAUUUUAUACCAAUUUUUAUUUAGGAUAGUGAACGCAUGUUAAAUUCACAAAUCCAACUGAUCUGACGAUCACCUUGGAAAGGUCCUCAAAGUUUUCUUAGCCUUUGUGCCCUUUCUACAUUGCAAGUUCUCCCAUCUUUAAUAUGAUGCUCAUUUUCCUCUGCUUAAAUUCAUAAGUGGAGAAUCCAUCACCACACUUCACCAGCAGAAGCAGCACAGAAUGCUGCUAUGAGCCACAGGCUAUAAACUGUGCACCUCUACAUAAACCAAACGUCUCAGAUGUGCUAAACAAAAUCUCAGGAGAUGCAGUUUUAUUGUUCCAAUUUAUUAUGAAGCCAAACAGUUAUUCAGCAAACAGCUCACCUACUCCACGGUCAUCAACUGUCGGAUUGUCAAUCCACCUUUGAGCUUGCUCAAUCUUGCCCUCCAAAUGAACAGCUGCCUUAACUGGCCUGGUGUUUGCUACUGCCCUGUUCGUUUUAGACUGUAAAUUCUGCAGUGAUGUAGCUACUUGCUUAGCCAGUACCCGGGCCUCUGGAGAGUCUCCUUUCCCACUGAAAAUCCAAAAAAGAUAGUUGCAGUCACACGCUCAACUGAAAUCAAUACAAAACAUUAUAUAUUUCUGAAAACAGAUUUAACUGUAAUACUCUCAUGAAUCAGUUCACUAUAACUAUGUUCAUUAUGUACAAAAACAGAAAUUAAGAAUAAUGACUUAUACAGGACUUUAUUUACGGGGUUAGAAAGACACCAAUGUACAGACUGUAGGGUAGCAAAAUCUGAAGAAAACCUUAUGUUAAAAGCACUAACUACAAAUGGAAAAAGUGGCAGAUUUAAUAUUAAAGACCACUGUUGACACCCACAUAAGUGUAACCUUCCUCUUCCACCCUGCACCUUCUUUUCAGAUCUGAUAUUGAAACACUUUCUUUAGCUAAGUAUUGAACUAAAGCUGACAGAUCCUUGUGGGACCAUUUUAAUGCUAUGCUUUUCUAAGCUUUAUCUGAUUUAGAACAUAGGCAUAACGAUUAAUGAUCCAAGUGCUUGAAAGAUCAUCUGAUAGUUUAGUAACUUUCUUAAAGGACCAGAGUUAUCAUUUGGGAAGGCAACUGUAUAAGUAAAUGCAUAAGUGCACCUUAGUUAGUAUUACAGACUGUGGGCAAAAUUCUGUGUUAUUCUGCAGCUCCUUUCUACUGCUUCGGUGGUGCAAAGAGGCCAGUUUCUAUCUACACCUUGCCAGCGGAGAAUUUUUAUAGCAGAGAUAGAUAUCUUCUUAUAGGGGGACCUCAUGCCAUCUGAUCUUCUGUAGUAGAGUACGGGACAGGAAGGAAUCCCUUGCUACAAGCUACUUGUGAAUCUGAAGUGUGAAGACUAUGAUAUUCUCUGUCCCAUGAAAAUGUUUUGCACCAUGCAGGAGGAAAACCCACAGUAUGAGACAUCCAUUCUCAACAGAACAGCUAACGACACUUUCAGGAUGCAAAUUUCUCUGUGUAACUACUUUGAAUUUCCUGAUCCAUCGAAUUCAUGCACUCAAACUGCAACUGCAAGAUGCUCGGAUACCACAAUGUGCGCAGUAUAGAUACAUACUGUCUUCGUAGAUCUGACAGUUUAGCUGUCAGAGCAGAGAUUUCUCCCAGGGAACGCAGAAUGUCAUCUCUGUCUUUGGGGUCCUCACACAGUUCUGCAAUUUUCCUGGCUUCGGCCAUAAUUCCCCGAAUUUGUUCUUCCCCUUCACUUCCCCCAUUAGGGUCUGCGAGCCAGUUCUUCAUAUAAAGGAAUAGGUACAAAUUAAGAUUAAGUCACCUACUUAUAUAAAAUCUUUUGAACACAGGCAUUUCACAAAAGAUUCUCAUAUUGAUAACAUACCCUGAUAUUCUAAUGGCUACUAGGUGUUUUGUUAUAUGAGGCAAGCCAUACUAAGUUAUGUACAUCUUAGCUACCAUUGUCAAGUCCCACUUACAUAUACUGUUUUCACAAGUUCACUUUAACUAGAUGCUGUUUAAGUAUUCACAAUUAUUUUAUACCUAUGUUUCCCACAAGUCCGAAUUUAUUUCUUUAUUUAUUUGACAAUGUAGAGUUCUUUUUAGGAAUCUUUCUAAAAAUGUUGUACAAUAGGAUGUUGGAUAAUAGUUCUUUUUUUAACACUGAAUUAAUGGAGUGCAUGACCUAAUAAUUGAAGAUGAAGUUUUCCUGUUAUGAAGAAGAUGCUACAUAUCCUUCCUCCAUUAUAGAGCUGAAUAAACUACCCUCUUGGUCAA